GACGAACGCUGGCGGCGUGCUUAACACAUGCAAGUCGAACGGAAAGGCCCUGCUUUUGUGGGGUUCUCGAUUGGCGAACGGGUGAGUAACACGUGAGUAACCUGCCCUUGACUUUGGGAUAACUUCAGGAAACUGGGGCUAAUACCGGAUAGGAGCUCCUGCUGCGUGGUGGUGGUUGGAAAGUUUCGGCGUUUGGGGAUGGACUCGCGGGUUAUCAGCUGGUUGGUGGGGUAGUGGCUUACCAGGGCUUUGACGGGUAGCCGGCCUGAGAGGGUGACCGGCCACCUUGGGACUGCGAUACGGACCAGACUCCUACGGGAGGCAGCAGUGGGGAAUAUUGCACAAUGGGCGGAAGCCUGAUGCAGAAACGCCGCGUGCGGGAUGCCGGCCUUCGGGUUGUAAACAGCUUUCGCAUGUGACGAAGCGUGAGUGACGGUAAUGGGUAAAGAAGCACCGGCUAACUACGUG
rnacentral:rRNA from 1 species